GGCUAACUACGUGCCAGCAGCCGCGGUCAUACGUAGGGUGCAAGCAUUAUCCGGAGUGACUGGGCGUAAAGAGUUGCGUAGGUGGUUUGUUAAGUGAAUAGUGAAAUCUGGCGGCUCAACCGUACAGACUAUUAUUCAAACUGGCAAGCUCGAGAAUGGUAGAGGUAACUGGAAUUUCUAGUGUAGGAGUGAAAUCCGUAGAUAUUAGAAGGAACACCAAUGGCGUAGGCAGGUUACUGGACCAUUUCUGACACUAAGGCACGAAAGCGUGGGGAGCGAACCGGAUUAGAUACCCGGGUAGUCCACGCCGUAAACUAUGGAUACUAGCUGUUGGAGGUAUCGACCCCUUCAGUAGCGAAGCUAACGCGUUAAGUAUCCCGCCUGUGGAGUACGGUCGCAAGACUAAAACAUAAAGGAAUUGACGGGGACCCGCACAAGCGGUGGAGCGUGUUGUUUAAUUCGACGGUAAGCGAAGAACCUUACCAGGGUUUGACAUCCUGCCAAGUUUCCCGAAAGGGAAAUGUGCCUUCGGGCCGCAGUGACAGGUGCUGCA
rnacentral:rRNA from 1 species